GCUCCGUUCCUUCACGCGCCUCGCGACUGCCGAUCGCUUGCCUCGCACGUAUCUGCUUCCAUUCGUCGCCGCGACUUCUCCUCCCUUUGUUCCGCGGCGCGGUUCCGCUGGUACUUGCGGAAGAGAGUUGCCCUUGAGACUCUGCUGGAGAUGUAUGGGGAGCAAGGCGGUGAGGCGGCGGAGGCAAAGUUUGCCCGUCUUCUCGCUCGCUAUCUUCAGCGCCUCUUUGCUUUUCAAAGCGCGCGUUAUUCUCUCGCUCCCCUUUCUUCCCCCGGAUCUGGCCCAAGGGGAUCACAUUCGGGGACCUCGGUUUUUCCCCCUCGAUCCUGGACGCCUCGCGGGCAGCCGCCUUCAGUGGUUAUAUAGCCGCUGUCCCUUGCACGUGUUGCUAUUAACUCCUUCCUGCCUGGGAGGCAGAGAGAAGAUAGGAAGGCUUGUGGGGCUGCGGCUGUUCGAAUUAAGCGGAUGCAUUGCUAUUGAUUUGGUUUUUUUUUAAGUCUGCAGGAAGGUUACAUUCUCUUAUUUUCUUUGGAGGACUUUCCCUUACUGAUCCAAUAAUCAGUGCAGACCUCCAUGUGUUGCCUUUCAACUAGAUCAACACUUUUCUGUGCAGUACAUGGGCAAAUGUACUAAGAUGCUGUAAGGGCAGCAGUAUGGAGGUACUUGGUAAAACAGGCUCUGGUUAAUUAUGGGAAUGGUAGAAAGAUACUGUGAUAACCACCAUCCAUGUGUUCCUUGAUCUGGUUAAUAUGGAGACCUUGUGGAGGAUGUCACAUACAGGUCCUUUUCAUUCUAAGGGCUUGAGGGUGAUGGACCAAAGAAUGAAUGAAUGUGAUGGUAGAACAUCCCUUUCUAUGAAAGGAACAAGGAGACAUAGAACUGCACGGCAGUCUAUCUUCAACCCCACCUCCCCCGGUUCUCUUUGGGGAGCUUUUAAUCUAAUGGAAACCUUUGAUGCUAGAUCCAAAGGCAGCACUUCAAUAAAAACGCUUCAGUAAGAAGUUCCCUCUAUGUCACAGUAAGCAAUCAGUUCAGUCCUGAUUUCUGCAGCUUUGGCAACUGACAACCACAAGGGCCUACUGUUCUUUGGUUACAAUGAAUUCUAGCUCAUUCUGUGUGGGAUGUGUUAGGGAGUGCGUCCAUGCAAGGGUUGGAAGGCGGUGAUGAAGUUCUCUGUCCGCUUCUAAAGAAAUCACUAGUGCUAAGAAGAUGUUGCUAUCAACACUCAAGAAGAAUUAUUUCAUUAAAAAAAAAAACACUUUCUGUUGCUCUCCAGCUACAAUCCAACUCAAAUAAGGUCCAUUUGGAAUCCAACCCAAAGCUGAUGUGAUUGUUGACUGGGACUGCGGGCAGAAGAACCAAUGCUAGUUUUCAGUAUAAUUAUGUCUAGAGAUGAGGCUGUCAAGAAUACGACAGGAAGUUGCACAUUCCAAGAAACAGACACUGAAAAGAAAGUUGCCUCUCCUUCAAGCACAUUAUGCAGAUGAAAGUAGAUGUCAAAUAUUCCUUUUAAU